UACGUAGGGUGCGAGCGUUGUCCGGAAUUAUUGGGCGUAAAGAGCUCGUAGGCGGUCUGUCGCGUCUGCUGUGAAAACCCGAGGCUCAACCUCGGGCCUGCAGUGGGUACGGGCAGACUAGAGUGCGGUAGGGGAGAAUGGAAUUCCUGGUGUAGCGGUGGAAUGCGCAGAUAUCAGGAAGAACACCGAUGGCGAAGGCAGCUCUCUGGGACGGUACUGACGCUGAGGAGCGAAAGCGUGGGGAGCGAACAGG
rnacentral:rRNA from 1 species